GUUUGAUAAGCCAACUCUCACUUGAAGGUCAGAGUCAAGGUCAUGGUGUCCCAGGCUCAGUUCCUCAGUUUCUUCCUCCUCUGGAUUUCUGAUUCGCUGGCAGAAACUGUCCUCACACAGUCUCCAGCGCUCCUGUCAGCGGCUGUGGGAGACCAAGCCACCAUCACCUGCAGGGCCAGCACAGACAUUGAUAAUGAUAUGCACUGGUAUCAACAGAAACCAGGAGAAUCUCCUAAGCUCCUCAUUAAAUAUACCACUGACCUUAUCUCUGGCGUCCCUUCCCGGUUCAGUGGCAGUGGAUACGGAACAGAUUUCACCCUGACAAUUAAUGACCUGAAACGUGAGGAUGCUGCCUAUUAUUUCUGUCAGCACGAUGAUAAUCUUCCUCCCACGGUGAUUCACCCUGAUACAAAAACCUGCAAGUGCCCGCAGUGGGAGGCCUUGGCUGCUCCUCAGGCUUGCAGUUGA